UGACAGUGUCAUAUUACCCUGCAGUUCUCACGUGGUUUCCCACUGAAGCUAAGCAGGGUUGAACCUAGUCAGUACCUGAUUGGGAGACCUGUGGAAAACUAAGGUUGCUGGAAG
rnacentral:rRNA from 1 species